rnacentral:rRNA from 1 species
CCUACGGGAGACAGCAGUGGGGAAUAUUGCACAAUGGGGGAAACCCUGAUGCAGCGACGCCGCGUGAGUGAAGAAGUAUUUCGGUAUGUAAAGCUCUAUCAGCAGGGAAGAAAAUGACGGUACCUGAGUAAGAAGCCCCGGCUAACUACGUGCCAGCAGCCGCGGUAAUACGUAGGGGGCAAGCGUUAUCCGGAUUUACUGGGUGUAAAGGGAGCGUAGACGGCAGCACAAGUCUGGAGUGAAAUGCCGGGGCUUAACCCCGGAACUGCUUUGGAAACUGUGCAGCUAGAGUGCAGGAGAGGUAAGUUGAAUUCCUAGUGUAGCGGUGCAAUGCGUAGAUCUUAGGAGGAACCCCAGUGGCGAAGGCGGCUUACUGGACUGUAACUGCCGUUGAGGCUCGAACGCGUGGGGAGCAAACAGGAUUAGAUACCCGAGUAGUC